GACGAACGCUGGCUGCGUGCUUAACACAUGCAAGUCGAACGGAAAGGCCCUGCUUUUGUGGGGUGCUCGAGUGGCGAACGGGUGAGUAACACGUGAGUAACCUGCCCUUGACUUUGGGAUAACUUCAGGAAACUGGGGCUAAUACCGGAUAGGAGCUCCUGCUGCAUGGUGGGGGUUGGAAAGUUUCGGCGGUUGGGGAUGGACUCGCGGCUUAUCAGCUUGUUGGUGGGGUAGUGGCUUACCAAGGCUUUGACGGGUAGCCGGCCUGAGAGGGUGACCGGCCACAUUGGGACUGAGAUACGGCCCAGACUCCUACGGGAGGCAGCAGUGGGGAAUAUUGCACAAUGGGCGGAAGCCUGAUGCAGCAACGCCGCGUGCGGGAUGACGGCCUUCGGGUUGUAAACCGCUUUCGCCUGUGACGAAGCGUGAGUGACGGUAAUGGGUAAAGAAGCACCGGCUAACUGCGUG
rnacentral:rRNA from 1 species